rnacentral:rRNA from 1 species
GAUGAACGCUGGCGGCGUGCCUAAUACAUGCAAGUCGAGCGAACAGAUAAGGAGCUUGCUCCUUUGACGUUAGCGGCGGACGGGUGAGUAACACGUGGGUAACCUACCUAUAAGACUGGAAUAACUCCGGGAAACCGGGGCUAAUGCCGGAUAACAUUUAGAACCGCAUGGUUCUAAAGUGAAAGAUGGUUUUGCUAUCACUUAUAGAUGGACCCGCGCCGUAUUAGCUAGUUGGUAAGGUAGCGGCUUACCAAGGCAACGAUACGUAGCCGACCUGAGAGGGUGAUCGGCCACACUGGAACUGAGACACGGUCCAGACUCCUACGGGAGGCAGCAGUAGGGAAUCUUCCGCAAUGGGCGAAAGCCUGACGGAGCAACGCCGCGUGAGUGAUGAAGGUCCUCGGAUCGUAAAACUCUGUUAUUAGGGAAGAACAAAUGUGUAAGUAACUGUGCACGUCUUGACGGUACCUAAUCAGAAAGCCACGGCUAACUACGUG